rnacentral:rRNA from 1 species
UUCCCUACGGGAGGCAGCAGUAGGGAAUUUUCGUCAAUGGGCGCAAGCCUGAACGAGCAAUGCCGCGUGAACGAGGAAGGUCUUCGGAUCGUAAAGUUCUGUUGAAGGGGAAAAAGAGCGGAGAGAGGAAAUGAACUCCGAUUGAUAUUACCCUUCGAGGAAGUCACGGCUAACUACGUGCCAGCAGCCGCGGUAAUACGUAGGUGGCGAGCGUUAUCCGGAAUGAUUGGGCGUAAAGGGUGCGUAGGCGGCCUGCUAAGUCUGGAGUGAAAGGCACUGGCUCAACCGGUACAGGCGUUGGAAAA